UACGGGGGGGGCAAGCGUUGUUCGGAAUUACUGGGCGUAAAGGGCUCGUAGGCGGCCAACUAAGUCAGACGUGAAAUCCCUCGGCUUAACCGGGGAACUGCGUCUGAUACUGGAUGGCUUGAGGUUGGGAGAGGGAUGCGGAAUUCCAGGUGUAGCGGUGAAAUGCGUAGAUAUCCGGAGGAACACCAGCGGCGAAGGCGGCAUCCUGGACUGGUCCUGACACUCAUGAGCGAAAGCGUGGGGAGCGAUCCGG
rnacentral:rRNA from 1 species